UACAGAGGGUGCGAGCGUUAAUCGGAGUUACUGGGCGUAAAGGGCGCGUAGGCGGUCUAGUGUGAGUGAUGUGAAAGCCCCGGGCUUAACCUGGGAAGUGCAUCGCUGACUACUAGACUGGAGUAGGUGAGAGGGUAGCGGAAUUUCCGGUGUAGCGGUGAAAUGCGUAGAGAUCGGAAGGAACGUCAAUGGCGAAGGCAGCUACCUGGCACCAUACUGACGCUGAUGCGCGAGAGCGUGGGGAGCGAACAGG
rnacentral:rRNA from 1 species